rnacentral:rRNA from 1 species
UGGGGAAUAUUGCACAAUGGGGGAAACCCUGAUGCAGCGACGCCGCGUGAGUGAAGAAGCAUUUCGGUUCGUAAAGCUCUGUCAGCAGGGAAGACAGAGAGACGGUACCUGACCAAGAAGCCCCGGCUAACUACGUCCCAGCCGCCGCGGUAAUACGUAGGGGGCAAGCGUUAUCCGGAUUUACUGGGUGUAAAGGGAGCGUAGACGGCAGGGCAAGUCUGGAGUGAAAGGCCGGGGCCCAACCCCGGGACUGCUCUGGAAACUGUCCGGCUGGAGUACAGGAGAGGUAAGUGGAAUUCCUAGUGUAGCGGUGAAAUGCGUAGAUAUUAGGAGGAACACCAGCGGCGAAGGCGGCUUACUGGACUGUAACUGACGUUGAGGCUCGAAAGCGUGGGGAGCAAACAGG